rnacentral:rRNA from 1 species
CAUUUUAGUGGCGGACGGGUGAGUAACGCGUGGGUAACCUGCCUCACACUGGGGGAUAACACUUAGAAAUAGGUGCUAAUACCGCAUAAGCGCACGGGACUGCAUGGUCUUGUGUGAAAAACUCCGGUGGUGUGAGGUGGACCCGCGUCUGAUUAGCUGGUUGGUGGGGUAACGGCCCACCAAGGCGACGAUCAGUAGCCGGCCUGAGAGGGUGGACGGCCACAUUGGGACUGAGACACGGCCCAAACUCCUACGGAAGGCAGCAG